rnacentral:rRNA from 1 species
AUUGAACGCUGGCGGCAGGCCUAACACAUGCAAGUCGAACGAGUGGCGGACGGGUGAGUAAUGCCUGGGAAACUGGCUGAUGGAGGGGGAUAACUACUGGAAACGGUAGCUAAUACCGCAUACCAUCAGAUGUGCCCAAGUGGGAUUAGCUAGUUGGUGGGGUAACGGCUCACCAAGCCGACGAUCCCUAGCUGGUCUGAGAGGAUGACCAGCCACACUGGAACUGAGACACGGUCCAGACGCCUACGGGAGGCAGCAGUGGGGAAUAUUGCGCAAUGGGCGCAAGCCUGAUGCAGCCAUGCCGCGUGUAUGAAGAAGGCCUUCGGGUUUUAAAGUCCUUUCAGUGGGGAGGCGUUACCCGCAGAAGAAGCACCGGCUAACUCCGUGCCAGCAGCCGCGGUAAUAC